ACACAUUUAAAGAGGUGGAUUUGGAUUUAAUUUGGGCUUGUUUUCUUUACCCAACCAGAACGUCUUAUAAAUGUAUAUUGUUUUGGAACAUUAUUGUGAGUAAAAUUUGUCUUUAAACAUUUUUGGAAAGCAGUAAACACAUUUUCCCAGGCCUGAACAGAACAAACAGUGACUUGCAGAAAGUACAGAGGGAACUGUGAUGUCUUCCACAUUUUUGUGCACAAGGGACUUUUUGGAAACGCACUAAGAAAUACCUCCAGCUACUAGUAUGGGUCCAUUCCUUACGCCAGAGAUCAGCUGUUGGUCCUGUGGGCGUCGGCUCUCCUCUGCACAGAAAGGCCGAUUCUGUCUCCAGAACCAUGGCGGAAAAGAAGAGGCUGCAGAGCGAGACGUAAGCUCAGUGAUUAUGACUCACAGAGACUCAUCUGUACAAAGCUAUAAUCUAAAUAUAUUACUAUGUAUUUUAAUUUUUCAAACAAAAAAUAUCUUUGAGUAAAGUAUCGGUAUCAAAUCAGCAUUGCAGCUACUGGCCUUAAUCUUACUUGGUAUUGAAUCAGAAAGGAAAUCAAUGGUAUCGUACAUCACUAGUGAGCAUGUAGGUAGGAGUUGAUGUUGAGGCCCUGGCUUGUCUUGGACAUGGGAAAGGGGGUCCUCGGGAAAAAAGUUUGGGAACCACUACUUUACAGCUCCUAAAACUUCCUAGACAUGCCUCAUCCCUCUACACUAGCUGCAAAUUGUCUUUGAUUUGUUUCACGUAAAGAAGAUGCAUUCUGAUAAAAAUGAUCAUGUACAAUGUUGACUAGGAUUCUAACAACACAUUGGUUUCAACAUAUUGCUACUGGAAGUGUGGAUCUAUCAGAUUUUAAUCUAUAAAAAUAUUGACAAGCCAAAACCGCACUAUAGUAAACAGAUAGCAUCAUACUAAACGUCUUCAGUCAACCUUUGUUUGCAUUGGUGGCAGACUUUUGAAUGUCACUAUCAACAUGUCAUGAGAAGGUGGGGGAGACCAAAAUACUGACACUAGCCAAGAGAGUUUGACAAACUUUGAUAAUACUUUGAUGAUACAUUAAAGGCUUAUAUGGCAGCAAAAGCAAAGUAAAAGGCUGGAAGUGAAGUGAAAACACGAUGCUAGAAGACAGCAGACAACAGCAGAACCUGGCAGUGAAAAGAGACUUGUGAGUGAAAACAGCUGGUAUGGUUAACAGAUGAGGAACAGGUGAAAGCAGCAGGCUGAGGGAAACAAUGAACACAAGGAGAAAUCUAACAACAAUAAUAAAAAAACUCAUUAAAUGCAAGAAACUACAAAAAAGAGCAAUAAGAACACAAAAACAGAAUAAAGUUACAAAACAUUCAAUGUAAAUAAUAAAACAAAGCUGAGAACAUCACAAAGAUAUUAGCAGAAAUUUACUAAUUCAAGACAAAAAACGCAACAUGCUUCUCUUCUGUCUGAUCAUUAGUUUUUACCCCAUCAUUUAACAGGUAAUUAAGUUCACAGAUCAGAACUACGGUGUGCACAGUAACUGUU